rnacentral:rRNA from 1 species
UUGAGAGGCAUCUCUUAAAUAUCAAAGGUGAGCCAGUACAGGAUGGACCCGCGUCUGAUUAGCUAGUUGGUAAGGUAACGGCUUACCAAGGCGACGAUCAGUAGCCGACCUGAGAGGGUGAUCGGCCACAUUGGAACUGAGACACGGUCCAAACUCCUACGGGAGGCAGCAGUGGGGAAUAUUGCACAAUGGGCGAAAGCCUGAUGCAGCAACGCCGCGU